GGCGAGGGAAGGAGGCAUUCAUUCCCCUUCUUCAAGAAUUCUUUAUGAAAAAGAUUGUGAAGACACAAAAACCAGAAGAAAAAUGGAUCUGAACGUUAUGCAAAUGUGAGACCCUCUGCCAAGAGGAAAGGUUUCAUUUGACAUUGGAGCAGGACUGCCAGGAAAUUACAAGGGGGAAGUAAACCCUGGAAGCAGUCCAGCAAGAGCCUUGGUCGCCUGCAGUGUGUGGUCAUAUUCCAGUAGAACCAGGGACCCUGGUAAAAUGAUCUGUUUCACUCUGGGUUCCUCAAACAUCUGUCACUCUGUAGGAGCACCUUUGGUUUCUCCAGCCUCCUGAUGCUUUUGAGCCUUCUAGAUCUAGUCUCUGGAACCCACUUACAUCAUUUUCUAAAGCGAACAGAC
rnacentral:lncRNA from 1 species